UGGGGAAUAUUGCACAAUGGGCGCAAGCCUGAUGCAGCCAUGCCGCGUGUAUGAAGAAGGCCUUCGGGUUGUAAAGUACUUUCAGCGGGGAGGAAGGGAGUAAAGUUAAUACCUUUGCUCAUUGACGUUACCCGCAGAAGAAGCACCGGCUAACUCCGUGCCAGCGGCCGCGGUAAUACGGAGGGUGCAAGCGUUAAUCGGAAUUACUGGGCGUAAAGCGCACGCAGGCGGUUUGUUAAGUCAGAUGUGAAAUCCUCGGGCUCAACCUGGGAACUGCAUCUGAUACUGGCAAGCUUGAGUCUCGUAGAGGGGGGUAGAAUUCCAGGUGUAGCGGUGAAAUGCGUAGAGAUCUGGAGGAAUACCGGUGGCGAAGGCGGCCCCCUGGACGAAGACUGACGCUCAGGUGCGAAAGCGUGGGGAGCAAACAGG
rnacentral:rRNA from 1 species